AAGCAACAGUCAGCUUAUCCAGCUUGCUUUUGAGGACUUCAGCCAUCUCUCAAGAACUGGCAAGAACAGGAGACGAGCAACGGGAGAAGAAGCCAUGAAUCUGUUGGAGUAGAGUGAAUCCCGUCCUUGUGCCGUGGCCCCAGAGGAGAACAUGAAAACCACAGCAGAGUCUCACCCUUGGCUGAGCUGGUCCAUCCCCUGCUGCACCAGCAGCAUUGAGCAAUCCACAGGCUGUGCAGGAUUUCCCUGCUCCUUUUGCAACUUUUAGUUCUGAAGGUUUUACAGAUUUCCAGCAGCAAGGUGGGAGGCUUCAAAGUCUGGUCACCAGGCCAAAGUGGUCGUUUUUUCAUGUGGAUUGCAAAAAUCACUCUUAGAACAAAGACUCAAGUUCUCCAGACAAGCUUAAAUCCAUGCUAAAAUAUAUGAGGUUAAUAAGAGCAUGUAUCCCAGCAGGUUACCCAGAUUUUAUUUGUUUUCCAGCACAGACACAACAGUGUGUUUUUCCCUGAUCCAGAUCACUGAAUUGCUUUAGUGCAGAGCUUUUCCAAAAAGCAUUCAGCUUGCGGUAUGUGGUUGGCACAGCAAAUUUCAGCUGGAGCUAGACAGGAGAAGUUUGGCAAAGUUACAGGCAAUUGA